rnacentral:misc_RNA from 1 species
AAGUCGUAACAAGGUUUCCGUAGGUGAACCUGCGGAAGGAUCAUUAACGAACAGAAAGGACUUUCGCCGGUCCUUUCAUCCUAUUCUAUACCACACCUGUGCACCUUUGGUAGGCUCUGUCUCUCCCGAGAGGGGGGGAGGGUGUCUAUGUUUCGAACGUACCCUAUGUACUACUAUACACAAUCCAAGGCCAGAAUGUUAAACAAUUUACAACUUUCAGCAACGGAUCUCUUGGCUCUC